rnacentral:ncRNA from 1 species
UUCAAGGGCAAAGCAGCCGAAAGGCUGUGACGCAAAGCUACAGGGUCUUCUUCCGAAAGGAAAUGACAGCCAGCUGC